UUCCCAUUGUUUAAGCUCUGGUGCCUGCAAAACAUUUGCUGAAUGAAUGAUAUAUCCAAGUUGCAUAUUCCUACUCAUAUAACUUGGCAAAGGUUAGUAGAGAAAAGUUAAUAGAUAAAAGGACUAAUCUAAACAAUGAAAAUAUCCUAAUUGUAACAUUGUAAAGCUAUUAGCUGUCAUUUGUGUUGCUGGCUAAAGCUUAUGAUAUGAACCUAAAGCCUACUAUAUACAAAUUGUCAUAGACUCUUAGAAUGUCUUGUAAAUGAUUUCAACAUUGUUUAUCAAUGAAGACCCCUUUAUAUCCUAUAAAAUUCUAUCUUUGCUGAUCAAGAAAAAUGAACCAAAUACCUAAUAAAACCUCCUUCCUUCAAACCAGCUUAGUUAAAAGCAUAAGGCGCACUCAAAGCAAUACAUCAACCCAUUGCUUGAAGUGCAAAGUGCAAAAAACGUGCUCACUUCAUUGAAGGAAGUGCAAAAUUAUUAAAAACGAACUAAUAAUAUAAUAUGCAUGGAAAAUACAAUCCUCCAUAUAAAAUUUAAACCG
rnacentral:misc_RNA from 1 species